rnacentral:rRNA from 1 species
UACGUAGGGGGGCAAGCGUUGUCCGGAAUCAUUGGGCGUAAAGAGCGCGUAGGCGGCCCGGUAAGUCCGCUGUGAAAGUCAAGGGCUCAACCCUUGAAUGCCGGUUGAUACUGUCGGGCUAGAGUCCGGAAGAGGCAAGUGGAAUUCCCGGUGUAGCGGUGAAAUGCGCAGAUAUCGGGAGGAACACCAAUGGCGAAGGCAGCUCACUGGGACGGUAGUUGACGCUGAGACGCGAAAGCGUGGGGAGCAA